rnacentral:rRNA from 1 species
ACUGGAAUGAAUGGCUAAAUGAGGGUUAAACUGUCUCUUGCGAGCUGGUCAAUGAACUUGAUUUUCCAGUAAAAAAGCUGGAAUAAACACAUAAGACGAGAAGACCCUGUGGAGCUUCGAAACCAAGUUCAUCAAACUAAUGCUUCCUUGGGUUUUCAGUUGGGGCGACUUUGGAGUACAAAAAAACCUCCAAACCAUGUUAAACCCACUAUAUUAAGAACAACAAACCAAAAAUUACAUACGACCCAGCAAUCAGCCCUCACUGUUGUCUGAUCAAUGAACCAAGUUACCCCAGGGAUAACAGCGCCAUCCCCUUCUAGAGUCCCUAUCGACAAGGGGGUUUACGACCUCGAUGUUGGAUCAGGACAUCCCAAUGGUGCAGCCGCCAUUAAGG